AGAGUGUAUCAGCUUGAGAGUGCAAGAGGGGAGAUGGAGCAAGAUGGAAGAAUAGAAGAAGACUCUACUGCUUGUCCCCCUGACAAGGACACCAAUGGCACAAAAAAGCACCUUUGUGAGAAACAAAAAUCAGUUUAACAUCUGGAAGGGAUGAAGAGAAGUCAGCUUUGUGGCGAUCAACAAUGUCCACACUACUGGCAACCAAUGCUCAGCUCAACUGAUUAUAUUAAAAAACUCACUGAGCUGAUACCCUGUGAUUAUCACUCUAGGACAUGGA